rnacentral:rRNA from 1 species
GACGAACGCUGGCGGCGUGCUUAACACAUGCAAGUCGAGCGGGAUCCAACCGGUGGCAACACCGGGGAAGAUCUAGCGGCGAACGGGUGAGUAACACGUGAGCAACCUGCCCCGAAGACUGGGAUAACACCGGGAAACCGGUGCUAAUACCGGAUGUCGUCAUUAGGCCGCAUGACCUGAUGAUGAAAGGAUUCAUCGCUUCGGGAGGGGCUCGCGGGCUAUCAGCUUGNGGGUGGGGUAACGGCCUACCAAGGCGACGACGGCCUAGCUGGUCUGAGAGGACGACCAGCCACACUGGGACUGAGACACGGCCCAGACUCCUACGGGAGGCAGCAGUGGGAAUCUUGCGCAAUGGGCGAAAGCCUGACGCAGC